AUUGAACGCUGGCGGCGUGCCUAACACAUGCAAGUCGAGCGGUAACAGGUGUAGCAAUACAUGCUGACGAGCGGCGAACGGGUGAGUAAUGCUUCGGAAUCUGCCCAUGUAGUGGGGAAUAACCAGCCGAAAGGUUGGCUAAUACCGCAUACGACCUACGGGUGAAAGCAGGGGAUCGCAAGACCUUGCGCUAUUGGAUGAGCCGAAGUCGGAUAGCUUGUUGGUAGGGUAACGGCCUACCAAGGCGACGAUCCGUAGCUGGUCUGAGAGGACGACCAGCCACACUGGGACUGAGACACGGCCCAGACUCCUACGGGAGGCGGCAGUGGGGAAUAUUGGACAAUGGGGGCAACCCUGAUCCAGCGACGCCGCGUGUGUGAAGAAGGCCUGCGGGUUGUAAAGCACUUUUAGUGGGGAUGAAAAGCACAUGGCUAAUAUCCGUGUGUCUUGACCUAA
rnacentral:rRNA from 1 species